rnacentral:rRNA from 1 species
UACGUAGGGUGCGAGCGUUAAUCGGAAUUACUGGGCGUAAAGCGUGCGCAGGCGGCUUUGCAAGACAGAUGUGAAAUCCCCGGGCUCAACCUGGGAACUGCCUUUGUGACUGCAUAGCUAGAGUACGGCAGAGGGGGAUGGAAUUCCGCGUGUAGCAGUGAAAUGCAUAGAUAUGCGGAGGAACACCAAUGGCGAAGGCAAUCCCCUGGGCCUGUACUGACGCUCAUGCACGAAAGCGUGGGGAGCAAACAGG